rnacentral:rRNA from 1 species
UACAGAGGGGGCAAGCGUUAUUCGGAAUUAUUGGGCGUAAAGGGCGCGUAGGCGGCGCAACAAGUCACUUGUGAAAUCUCUGAGCUUAACUCAGAACGGCCAAGUGAUACUGCAGUGCUAGAGUGUGGAAGGGGCAAUCGGAAUUCUUGGUGUAGCGGUGAAAUGCGCAGAUAUCAGGAGGAACACCGGUGGCGAAGGCGCCACUCUGGGCCGAAACUGACGCUGAGGAGCGAAAGCGUGGGUAGCAAACAGG